rnacentral:rRNA from 1 species
GAAUUUUGGACAAUGGGGGCAACCCUGAUCCAGCCAUCCCGCGUGUGCGAUGAAGGCCUUCGGGUUGUAAAGCACUUUUGGCAGGGAAGAAAAGGCGCUGGCUAAUACCUGGCGCUGCUGACGGUACCUGCAGAAUAAGCACCGGCUAACUACGUGCCAGCAGCCGCGGUAAUACGUAGGGUGCAAGCGUUAAUCGGAAUUACUGGGCGUAAAGCGUGCGCAGGCGGUUCGGCAAGAAGGAUGUGAAAUCCCGGGGCUUAACCUCGGAACUGCAUUCUUAACUGCCGGGCUAGAGUAUGUCAGAGGGGGGUAGAAUUCCACGUGUAGCAGUGAAAUGCGUAGAGAUGUGGAGGAAUACCGAUGGCGAAGGCAGCCCCCUGGGAUAAUACUGACGCUCAUGCACGAAAGCGUGGGUAGCAAACAGG